CAGACAUUCAUUUUUUCUUCACAAUUUUAUUUUCAAAGGUUGCACCGUAAAAUUAUCGGUGAGUCGAAGUUCCAAACUAAAGUCGAUUAUCAAUUUCGAGUAAUAUCUAACAUAUAUUUAUAUAUAGAGAGUUGAGCUGGAAUACUAUCGAUAGCAAACGGGCUCCAUUGCCAUCCAUUUGUUUUCGAUGAUGGAGCAUCCAAAUCGACGUUUGGCACCGUUGAAAAUGAUCUAUACCACUUGAAGUACCUAGAAAUCAAAUUUCAUACGUUUCUGAUAUUGUUCUCUUGUUCAUCAAGUGGACAUAAAAAUGAACGGCUGAAAAUGAAUAUCCUCUAAAAAGUGAUGAUAGGAAUUUUGUAAUCAAGAUUGAGAGUAUAAAUCUUGUUCUAAAUAGUUUAAAACAUUUUCUAACCAAAAUCCAAUCAAUUUGGAUAGCUUUACAUUGUUAAACAAGAAAACGUCUCAUAUCUACUAUUAAAAUUAUAAAUUUUGAAACCCUUUGAUCAUUAGGUCAGUGAUGUCGAUCGAAAAAUUUGAAAUUUGGUUUCUAGAUACUUCAAGUGGUAUAGAUCAUGUUCAACGGUGCCGAUCGUCGAUUUGAAGGCUUCAUCAUCAAAAACAAAUUGAUGGCAACGGAGUCUGUUUGCUAUCUAUAACAUUCCAACUCAAUGUAUGACCUAUAAAUAGUAAAAUUAUUUAUUAUUAACUAUUUAAUUAUCACUGACCGUCUUUGGAACAAGUGGCAAAGGGCUUGAUGGUUGGUACCCGAGAUCCAAAUUCGAAUCCUAGUUGAUUCACAUUUUUAGCUAAAUUUAUUUAUAAAUGAAAUAAACGAAGCAAGUAGUGUGCUACCUAUCUCUCUCAAAAAAAAAAAA
rnacentral:lncRNA from 1 species